UAGAGUUAAAUGUGAAGAAAAGUGAUGAGUUAUGGCUCCCUUCUCGAUGGUUGGGUGGAGUAACACCCUUAAAAAGAUCUCUCCAAAGUUUGAUAGGAGCAGGCCGAUUGGAGGCAAAGGAAGCGGCUGCAUAGGACUCUGACUGAGCAAACUCUUAUUGAAAGAUACAUUGAAGCUCAUUGCUCUAUUCUCCAACGAUAUAGCAUGCACACCAGUUAGCACAAGAGAUACUCCAGUCCAACUCCCAUGAUGCUAGG
rnacentral:lncRNA from 1 species